CCUACGGGGGGCAGCAGUGAGGAAUAUUGGUCAAUGGGCGUAAGCCUGAACCAGCCAAGUCGCGUGAGGGAUGAAGGUUCUAUGGAUCGUAAACCUCUUUUAUAAGGGAAUAAAGUGUGGGACGUGUCCUAUUUUGUAUGUACCUUAUGAAUAAGGAUCGGCUAACUCCGUGCCAGCAGCCGCGGUAAUACGGAGGAUCCGAGCGUUAUACGGGUUUAUUGGGUUUAAAGGGUGCGUAGGGGGGCUUUUAAGUCAGCGGGGAAAGUCUGUGGGUCAACCAUCGAAUUGCCGUUGAAACUGGGGGGCUUGAGUAUGUUAGAGGCAGGCGGAAUGCGUGGUGUAGCGGUGAAAUGCUUAGAUAUCACGCAGAACCCCGAUUGCGAAGGCAGCCUGCCAAGCCAUGACUGACGCUGAUGCACGAAAGCGUGGGGAUCAAACAGGAUUAGAUACCCUGGUAGUC
rnacentral:rRNA from 1 species